AGGAUACUGCCAGUGACAAACUGGAGGAAGGCGGGGACGACGUCAAGUCAUCAUGGCCCUUACGGCCAGGGCUACACACGUGCUACAAUGGUCGGUACAAAGGGUUGCUACACAGCGAUGUGAUGCUAAUCUCAAAAAGCCGAUCGUAGUCCGGAUCGCAGUCUGCAACUCGACUGCGUGAAGUCGGAAUCGCUAGUAAUCGCGGAUCAGAAUGCCGCGGUGAAUACGUUCCCGGGCCUUGUACACACCGCCCGUCACACCAUGGGAGUUUGUUGCACCAGAAGUAGGUAGUCUAACCGYAAGGAGGACGCUUACCACGGUGUGGCCGAUGACUGGGGUGAAGUCGUAACAAGGUAGCCGUAGGGGAACCUGCGGCUGGAUCACCUCCUUA
rnacentral:ncRNA from 1 species